AGGAAUCUGAUUAAAAAAUGGGCAGAAAAUCUGAACAUUUUUCCAAAGAAGACAUACAGAUGGUCAACAGGUACAUGAAAAGUGCUCAACAUCACUAAUUAUCAGGGAAACAGAAGUCAAAAUCACAGUGAGCUAUCAGAUCACAUCUUUUAGAAUGGCUAUUAUUGAAAAGGCAAAAAAUGACAAGUGUUGGCAAGAAUGUGGCAAAAAGGGGAACCCUUGUGAACUGUUGGUGGGGAUGUAAUUUGGUGCAGCCACUAUGGAACAUGGUAUGGAGAUUCCUCAAAAAACUAAAAAUAGAAUCACCAUAUGAUCCAGCAAUUCUACUUCUGGGUAUUUAUCUGAAGAAAAUGAAAAUACUAACGAGAAAAGAUGUCUGCACUCCCAUUAAUGCUGCGGCAUUAUUUACAAGAGCCAAAAUAUAGAAACAAUCUAAGUGUUCAUCAAUGGAUAAAUGAAUAGAGAGACUGUGAUAAACACACACACACACACACACACACACACACACACACAGAGGAAUAUUACUCAGUCAUAAAAAACAGUGAAAUCUUGUCAUGUGUGACAACAGGGAUGAACACUGAAGGUAUUAUGCUAAGAGAAUCUAAAUUCUCAUAUAUAUGGAAUCUAAAACAACAACAAUAGCAAAACCCCAAGCUCACAGAUACAGAGAACAGAUUGGUGGUGGUUGUCAGGGGUAGUGGGGGUUGGAGAGUGAAAUGGGUAAAGAGGGUCAAAAGGUACACAUGUCCAGCCAUAAAAUAGUUAAGUUAUGGGGGGGGGGUAAUGUAUAGCAUGGUGACUGUAAUUAAUACUGUAUUGCACAUUUGAAAGUUGCUAAAAGCGUAGAUCUUAACAAUUCUCAUCACAAGAAAAAAAGUCGUUAACUACGUGUAGUGAUUUAUGUUGUGGUGACCAUUUCGCAAUAUACACAAACAGUGAAUCAUGUUGCACACCUGAAAUGAAUAUAAUGUACGUCAAUUAGACCUCAAUAAAAAAGGAAAGAAAGCUAUCAGACAUUCAAAGGUGAUAACUUCUUAGAAGUAAAAGGGGGGGGGGUAGUAAGAGUGGAGAGAAAAGAGAAAUUUGGGUGGUAACACUGGAAGAACAAAUUGGUGACUGGGUGACUGUGUGGAUGAUGUUUGUAAUACAGAGUUAAACUCUAUUUUGAUGUUUGUAAACAGCUUCUAAACCUCAUGCCUGCCUCUUCUUGUGCCCCACACCUGGGCAAGCUGAUGGGACGUGUUCUCCCUUAGCACCUGCAGGAGAUUCAAACCACCCAAUUUCCUGCUUCCUACCGGAAUCCUCACCCAGGCCCACCCCCUAACCGCAAUAAAAGCCUUAAGCCAGUCUGCUAUCCUUAUUCUCUCCAGUCAUUUUGGAAGAGUUUGAGCUCUGCUCGUCCCUGAAACCUCAAUUUAAACUGAUUAUCAGGGCUUAUGAAGAAACUAUCCCAAUGAUGGCAGAAUUCAGUACCUACACCAUAAUCAACAAAGACACUUUCCCAAUGAGAAAAGAGCAAUGAAAUGGCCCUUCUGAGUGCUUACCUGCUGCAGAUCAGCGAGGGAAUACAGGUGGAUCUGUUGAAGGAGGUAUUCUCUGGGGAAAAUUCUGAAAACAAGGACAGAAAGACAAAUGAACUGUGUUGACUGCCACAAAACACACUUCCUGGAAUCCGUGCUCCAGGUUGGGUAAUUUGUACUGAGUUGAGAGGGCUGCAGUAUCACCCACCCUAAAAUCAGCAAGAAGCACUGUGAAGCAUACCCAGGGAGAUGCAAUUUGGUGUUCUUCAUAUGAGCUGCAAACUCUUUCUGAAAUUGCUACAUUAGGCUGGAUGUGGACAGGAAUCAUAUGCCUAGCCAUGCUCCCAGCUAAUGGAAAAACAAUUUUAAAUCAAAGGCAGACAUUUCGAUAGCAACCCAUGUGGAAGAAACAAGCUUCGAUCUAGAUACCUCAUUUUGCUAAUCUCAUUGGCUUGAAAAAGUAGCAAGAUUGCAUCAGAUAUUAUAUCUUGGCAGAUAGUUAUGGGAAAUAAGGGUCUCUUUUACCUGCUCAUUCAGAGACUGUAUUUAUGUUCCUUAGUAACAAUCUAAAACCUGGAGUAGGAAUACUUGGGAACUAAUUUUGGUUGAUUAUUCUGGGGUCUGAUUGCAAAAGUGACAGAUUGUAUCACAGUUAUAGAUCCUAGAAGACGUUCUUAUGGUAUUUUUUUAACAGUUCCAAGAACGUAAUAUUUCUCUAACUACACUGAGUUUUAUUUUUUGUCAUCCUUUACAAAAUGAUUUUAGAUAAUUUCUGUAUAUUUCAUUUCCUCUCAGAAUAAAACAAAAUCACUUUUUAACUUUCUGAAGGAUUUCAGCAAGUAAAAAGCUAUGUGUACAUUAUAGUAAAAUUAAUAUAUCACUUGCCAGAAUUCCUUUUUCACAGUUUAUUAAUCAGUUUAGUUUUGAAUGACAUGGUCUUUUGCAACCUGUAGCUCCCUUUUAGAGUGUUGAUAUUGGUACACGAUUUGUUAAACAAGAUCUCUGAAGAAAAUGACAGAAGGGGGAGGAGCUAUUAGGAGAUCAAGAGGUUAGAGGACGUGAAAACCUUAGAAGUUCUAGAAGUCAUCCAAGGGAAAAGGAUUCUUAAAGUAGAAUGAGAAGUGUUGGCGUUCAAAAACAUCCUGUGUUUUGGUAGUUUCAAAGUUCUGAUAGAUUCAUAACCUAUUGAGACUAAAGCCUCAACUGCAAGCUAAUGACACUUUUAAUUAGCUAACAUGAAAAAAUAAAGCCACACAAUCUGGCUAAUAUUAAAUCUUAUAAAGAGCAAACACUUGUAUUCAUUUACUGAACUUAAGUGUUACUGACAUGCUUCAAGUCCUACUACUGCUUAUUCUUCUAAAAUUGUUGGCUAAUAAUUGUACAAUUAGAUCUCAGAUUUUGGUUAUAAUAGUCCUCAGAUGUAGGUCAGAGACAUAGCAAGUCAUGUCUGUGUAGAUUGUGUUUUAAGAACUAGGCUGCCUUAAGAGAUAUGUCUUAAUAAACUAGCCUCCUCAAUUAGGCAUAUUCAAUUCCCAACAGCAAGCCAUCUUUUCUCUUUGUGACAGAUAGCCCCUCCACCUGCUCUGAUUUGGGGGGGAAAUGUGCAGGGGAAGAGGAAGUGUUGCUAUGAAAUGAUUUCUCAGCAUAUUAUUAGGACACGCAAACUUUUGGGUACACUAAAUAAUAGUCUUAUUUACUUUUCCAGGAUCAAUGGUAUGUAGGUAUGCUCACACUACAAAGCACCAUUUCUGUUUAGUGAAUCGUGCUUAAUACAAAUAUUUACUGGCAUAAAAAGAUGUCCACUGGCAUAAAAAGAUGCCAGGUGCAAUGAUUGGGUUAAAAGUGGUAUGUGCAGUAUGAAACCAUUUUAAUGAGGAAAAAAUCUGCAGAGGAAAAAGUCUAGAAACAUAGGCACCAAAGUGGUAGGAUAAUGGCUGGCUUUCUUAUUUUUGUUUUCUAUAAUGACUGGUAUUUUUUUUUUUUUUUUGUAAUAAAACAAGUGUGACCAAAUUAAGCAGGUGGGAUCUUGGUAACAGUACUUUACUCAUUUAGCUCAUUUGUUCAACAGAUAUUGAUUAGCUCUCUAUGUCAGGUAUGGUUCUAGGCCCUGGGGACAUAGCAGUGAACAAAAUGGAUAAAAACCAUGACCUUUUGUAGCUGACAUUUAAUGGGGAGGGCAGGACCACUGUAUAUGGCUGCAUAGGGUGAGCAAAACACAACUUCCAUAUCCACGCAUGCCGGCCCAAGAGAGGGAGACAGACAAGAUACCAUGUAAUAUAGUGAUAAGCACAGAAAGAAGACAGAAAAUGUAUGGGGGGAAGAAGUGGAAGGGAGUGAAGGAUGCUUCAUUAAGGUGACAGCUGUGUAAAGACCUAAAAGAGUCAAGGAAGCAACCCUGUGGUUAUUUGAGGAAAGGAGAAGCAAGGAUAGAAACUCACACAGGAGGAGCCGGCUCAAAGACAAAAAAAAAAAAAAAAAAAAAAAAAAGGUGGGUGUGACCAGAGGGAAUGAGGGGACAGGUAGUGGGAGAAGAGGGCACAGAGGUAACUGGGGAUGAGACCGUACGUGGCCUUGGCUUUUACCUGGAGAAGUGAAGCUAUUAGAUAGUUUGGGUCAAGGGUGACAUCAUCUAAUUUACACAUGAGCUCUAGCUGUAGUUUAAGAACAGACUGAAGGGGGAGACGCGUUACUGCAGUAACAUGGGGGAAAGAAGGCAGUGGCUGGCACCUGGGUGGUAGCCGGCAGGUGACGGCAAGUGAAUGUACUUGCUGAGGGACCGGAUGUGGACAUGAAAGAAAGGUGUUUGGCCUGGACAACCAGGUGGCUACGGGUGCCAUCCAGCUUGAUGGUGAAGUCUGCAGCAGGCACGGUUGACAACAGCAGUGGGGGCAACAGGUGAGCUCCGUUUUGGGCAGAUUAAGAGGCU